GGCUCAAUGGUCUAGUCGUAUGAUUCGCGCUUCGGGCGUUACUGCUUGCGCGAGGUCCCGGGUUCAAUUCCCGGUUGAGCCC